rnacentral:lncRNA from 1 species
ACACAAAAACAGUAAAGAUGACGAAUAUGCAGGAUGCCAGGGUUUGUAUGGACCAAUUAUCCGAAUUAAAUAAAUGCGAAAAAAUUCAUCAGCAAGAAUAUAAAGCAAAUAUCAAUCAUCACGAUUUAACAUCUUUACAAUCAUUAUUUAUCAAAGUCUAAUGGUCUUGUUUCCAAUCCUUCAGAAUCUAUUAAGAACAAAAUAUUGUCAUCGAAUCAUGCUUCUGUUUGAUGUAUGUAAUCAAGCAAGCAAGAAAAAAAACACUUUGUCAGUUACAGGAUCAAUAUUCUGUAAAUAAAUGCAAUUCGGGAGACCUAUCAAAUAUGUAAUGAAUGAAAUACAAUCUCACUGUAACAAUUAUGCUAAGGUUCCAUCUAAAAUGUCAUCAUG